rnacentral:tRNA from 1 species
GCCUGGCUGGCUCAGUCAGUAGAGCAUGUGACUCUUGAUCUCAGGUUCAUGAAUUCAAACCCCAUGUUAGGGU